UCCUCCUGCAAAGGCAUGCUUUUGGUUCCUUGUUCUUGCACACGUAAGAAUAAGAGGCAGAAAAUGUGGAUUUGCAAAGUCUGAGACUGGCUUGCUCCCUGCAAGCUCUGGAUCAUCCAUCCCACAGAG